GAUCCAAGUUGAUUUUAAUUUUCUAGGUCAUUAACUUAGGUGUGCUUUAGUUCCCUAAUUUCGAACACCUAAUCGUCCAAAAUAUGAGUCUGAAUCUUUACAUAAUUCCUACACGGAAAUUUUUUUUUCCUUUAAUAGAAAUUAUGUAAAGAGGGGCAGCUGUCGACACCAUAUUUUGGCCGAUCCCCAAAAUCAACAAGACUUUGAAACCGAUCCCCAGCACUAAAUUUUCCUUUGCCAGCCAACUACAUUUCCGACCUCUCUUUGCCAUAUUACCGAUCUCUCUUCACAGAGAAUUGAAUCAAUGCUAAGCCCUCGUAUCAUCUAAAGUCUUGCCAAGUCGCUCACCGAUCUCUCAAGCCAAUUGUCAAAUUUCCUGACCGGUCGAUUACAUUCCCGAUCUCUCCUGUCAAACAAAAUUGAAUCAAUACUAGAUCUUUAUGUCACUGGUCUUAUUGCCGAUCUCUCAUUUUAAGUUCAGGAAUAAUUAAGAUUCCAAUCCGAUGUAAUGAUGAUCUUGAUUUUAAGUGGGUUCACCAAAUUUCCAAUUUUAAUCAAGUCCCGUUUAGCGUUGGUUCCCUGCCGAUCUCAUGCUUAUUGUGUUUUCCGACCUCUUAUACUUAGAUUAAUAAUCACUUUUAGUUGUUUUAAUAUGCUCAGACAAUCAAAUGCUUAAGUAAUUUAGAGAUUUUCCGAUCACAUCCAUUCACUGAACAAAAAGGGAAUUUCAUUUCAUAUUAAAAUUUGUACAAGUCAUUCGGCUGGAGGAUCACCCCCAGCCUGUUCUACAUCAAUAUUUCGCUCACCCUCUCUAUCUCCCUCGGGCUCCUCCUCGCUCUCAUCUUCGGCCUCUGGGACAAGCUCGUUCAUCUAGGAAAAAUCCUCUUCAGGAUACCGUUUCUUUAGCUCGGCCAUAAGGUCGUUAUGAGCAUUCACAUAAGCCCCGGCCUCCUUCUUAGUGCUCUUCUCUUCCUUAGCUCAAAGCUCCUCAUCCUUGGAUCGGAGCUCUUCCUCCUUCGCCCAAAGGUCUUCAGCAUGACGAGCAAGAUCGGCAGACCAACUAGCUCGAGAGUCUUUGAGUUCCCGUUCCACUUCAAUGAUCCUCUCCUCAUAACGCUUCAUUUGAUCCUCCAUUCUGGCGAUGUACUCGUUGGCAGAGGAGAGCUGAGCUUGUGCAGCAGAGGCAUCUUGGACAGCCUUAAGAAUCUCUUUCUUUAAGCCGUGGGCUUUCUCUCUGAGAAUAUGCUGGUUUGCGAUGGCCUCUAAGCCUAAGCUUAUUGUCUGAGCCAAGAUAUCAUCCAUGCUCUCCUCUGCUAACCGGUUCCGGUCUUCUUGAAAGCAAAUAGAAGCUCCCAUAACUUUGGCUAAGCCGGGAUUCCCCCUAGUAGAGCGGUUCCUUUCCAAUGAUUGGAUCAGAAGUUGUGCGCCCCGGAAAAGUGUCCUGACAGCGGGACCAGAUGACUCCCCUUCUACAUUGGAAGAGCUCGGAGGAGAAGGGGGAGGUGGAAGCUCGACCUAUUGAGGAGCCGGGGGAAGGACAUUCACCUCAGGGAUCGGUUGCUCCUGAGAUCGAGGAGGAGAGCUCGGCACCUCUACUGAUUCACGACGAGGGGUCUGAGCAUCAGCAAUGGUGGCCCCCUUCAUCGCCGUCACUUUUCGUGAGACGUCCCUCUUUCGCUUGCGGCUCUCCUUUGCAGCCUCACCACACGCCAUACCUGCACAAAGAAUAAGUUAGUGAGUUCGCUAAGAUUGAGAGACUAGGGAUCUGGAUUAUACCGAUCACAGGACCGAGGUCAGAGAGUUGCAACUCAUAAUCCUCACGGGCGAUCAACCGCAUCAUCCACCACUUCAGUUCAGCUAUGACUGCAUCCAAACAUGAAUAUUUGUGAAUGGUCGCCUGAUUUUUCAAUUCCUUCACCAUGGCUUCAUCUUUAUUUAGGGCGAUCUUCUUGGGCACUUGGGGGAUCAAGUAAUUCCAAUUACGCGGGAUCCCCUCAAAGCCAUUUCGAUCCUUGCUUCUAAGUAUGAAAAAUCAAUCUUUCUAGUUCUUCAGCGAAGAAGGGAGAUUGGUGAAGAGCCCGCAGUUUGGCUUGGCCUGGAAAAAUCAAAAUUCAUUAUCUUUUCUCUAGGCAAGCCUAUGCAGUUUGGCAAAAACUUUAAUCGUAGGCUCUAGCCUCUUAGCUUGGUAGAGACCUCUAAAGGCUACUAGAGUUUACCAAGAGUUCGGAUGCACCUGAGCUACAUUAACAUGAUGGAAUUUUAGAACAGCUUUGUAAAAUCCAUUUAGGGGAAAACGGAGUCCGGCUUGUAGCUGCGUCUUGUACACCAUGAUAAGAUUGCCUUUGUCAAAGAAAUGAUAAGCUUGAAGAUCGCCAUGGCAUCGGAUGAGUUCAUAAGAAUCGAUUGGAAGAUUGUAUUCUUGACUGAUAAAUUGGAGAUCGGUCUCUUUAAGGAUUGACGGCAGUUCAUCAACAGGCAGGUUCUCCUUCCUCGAAGACGAUGCUCGUUUCGGUCUACUAGCUUGACUAGUAACCAAAAUAAUGGCUGUGUUAGAUCGCCCACUUGGCCCAACCGCAUCACCUUCUUCCGAUGUCCAUGAAUUUGAACGGAAGGUGGGCUUGCAACUCUCUGACCCUCGGUACCACUCAUUUUCAGAAAAUAAAAAUGAAUUAAUUGGAAGAAGAUUAAAGCCCUUACCGGAGUAUAAACCAGCACCGGAAAGCUCUAGGAAAAGGGAGAGUGUCGAAAUUGCCAAAAGAAGUCUGAAAAUGACAUAAGGGAGCAAAUGACUAUCCCCCUCUCUAUUUAUACCCGCUGAGGCAUUAAAUGCUUACGAAAUCCCAAGUGACGCAUCGGAUAACAGGACCGGGCCAUUCCAAUAACACUCUCAAAAGAAAAUUCCAGAAACAUAAUAAAGAGAUAGGACAAGUAAGAUCGGUUACUGAGGAUCAUCAGAUAGAAUAGGGUUUCGAACCAACAGAUCGGCAGAAUGGCGAUUCGGCUAGGGGUCAGAUCGGGCAUAGUUAUCAGAGAUCGGAAUAAUAAUCAAUGCAAUAAUAGAAGCAGAAUAAGCAUAUUCAAAUUUCAAUAAUAAAUUUCAUUUCCAAAAGGUCAAAACUACAUCAUUUGGGUGAUCUCUCAAGAUCAGCAAUUACAAAUGUCUCUACACUACAUUCUACCUAACUCGGACUACUCCCAGAACCCAAAAUGUCGCAUAAGAGGCCUAUGUCAAAGCCUAGUUUUGUGGCUGAAUCAAAAGAUGUGUUUGAUCAGAAAGCCAGCCAUAGGCAUCGGAUAGAUGUGCAGCUCAGAUGGAGUGACUAUGACUCUCAUGAUGAUGAGGAGUCAUCAUCGAUGUCACCGACCAGAACCGAGCCGCAGUCGGGACGCCCGAUGUGGUGAGGAGCCAAAUGAACUUCAAGAGGCUUUCACUCACAGAUAUCAAGAUAGAUAUUAACAGGGUUCCCAAGAAAAAGAAUUUGAUUGAGGCUAUGGAGAAGGCUGAUGUUAAGAACAAGUGGGAGAAUAGCUCGUGGGGCAGAAAGCUUGUUGUCCAGAAGAGAAGAGCAGCUCUCAACGACUUCGAUAGGUUCAAGCUGAUGUUAGCUAAGAUCAAGAGGGGUGGAUUGAUCAGGCAAGAGCUGGCCAAGCUGAAGAAAGAGAAUCCAGCCUAAAAUUUUCAUAUUAAAUUAUCAAUUUUGUUAUCAAUAUGCUGCAAGUUAAUUUGGAAUCUUAUCCAUUUGGUUUCCUAGUCACUUAGAGAUUGAGAACAGUUUUAAGGAAAGCUUUCUUUUAUGUGACAGUUUUUGUAGUGAGCUUGUGCAACCUGUACUUCGACAGUAUUCUUGCGCUUUUUGCAUAGCUAAUAUUUCUUUGAAUUCUUGUUAUGGUGCAUUUUCUCUUCCCAUGAUAUGCUGUGCUUCAUCUUUAAGACAAUAUUUGACAAGGCAAUGUAAUUAAACAUUUUAUUAUAUUUCAGUGAAUAUUUG
rnacentral:misc_RNA from 1 species